AGGAGUUUUCCAUCGCCCUCGACUAGCUACUUUGAGGCUAAUCACUUAGAAUCAUUUGCAACCUACCUUCGGUGUUGUUUAUUCUAAUAUUAUCUAACUAUGAGCCUGCUCUUGGCUCAAUCUAUGAUUGAUUUUUGCAUCUUGUAAGGAAUUGAUUGUCUUCUUCAAAUCCAAAACUUCAGUAUUUCUUGUGCUUAUACUAUCAAACCAUCAUAAGAUUUGGUUUCACUCUGACAAGUAAAAUAUUGUCAUUGUAACCGGCCUAGUGUUUGUAAGAUUCAGAAGAAGCACCCAGAGUCCAUCAAUGUUGUAACUUGCAAGUGCAUUCUAUUGAUGUAACUUGCAAGUGCAUUCUAAGAAGGAAGUGAAUGUGAAUAUGAGCUGCAGAAGUUCAGCAACUGAGUUACCUCUUUUGUCCCAAAAGAUUGAACAACAUGAGCAUUACCAAAGCGUGCAGCGUUUGUCAAAUUCAGAAGAAGCACCCGGUAGUGAUAUGAAAAUAUUCAGAAAGAUACUGACAUUUGCUUCAUCCACCCAGAAGCUUAAUUUAAGUGUAAAGGAAAAUGAAGAAAAUGAUACCCAUUAUCCGAAGUUAAACAUUGUCUCAUCUAGAAGAGGCA